rfam:Blautia sp. CAG:52 genomic scaffold, scf398
UGAUACCAGGGUUCCAAAGUGAAAAGUUUUUCGUGCUUGCACGAGAAAGCUUUUUGCCUUGGAACCCGCCAAACAUGAGAAAGCAGCAAUUUACGAAGUAAAUCAGCGGAUUUCAAAUGGUUGGGGGAUUGUGAGAGCAGCAACGCUGCGGAACAAUCCGUAGGUAUCC